UUUCUUGCUCCGUAUUAUUUUAUUCUGCUCCGUGAAAAUACCAAAUUAAAUUAGAGGCUAAUUAAGUAGCCAUUUUCAAAAUCCUCCUUAUUCUCUCCCCAAAAAUCACGCCAUUCUCCUCCCAAAUCUCUCAAUCUUUAUUUCAAUUAUUCUCCCAUAUCCUCUAAAUUAAUUGUGGAAUAAUUAGUUUCCCUAACUCUAUAAAUAGGGACUUAACAAAAUCCCUAGCCCUAGCCACCCUCAAAUCACACGCCCACUUCUCAAAUCACACGCCCCCUCCCACUUUUCAUCUCCUCCCACACUUGUUCAUCCAUUCUACUCAAGAUCCCAUCAAUUCCCCAAGAGAUUAUUGAAGAACCAAGGUUUUGUUCGCUUUCUACCGAUUGUUUCGUCCAAGAGAGGUGAUAAUUCGUGCGCUAAACGUGAUAUCAAAGGAAAAGCGAUACUUGAAAUCUAAACGGUCGAGGUUGAGCAGCGACGAGCGGUUGGUGGUGUUGAGCAGAAAUAAUAAUAUGGUUAUUUUGAAACUUCGAGUGUCGUUGUGUCUUCACACAUGACUUCACUCUUCUCUUGGAUGCUUCCGCUGUGAUAUUAUCUUUACUUAUAUUUUUAUUUAACUAUGAAACUGUUUGAUUGAAUGUUGAAAUCUCGUACCCUUUUUUUAUAAAUGUCAAACCUUUGGUCUUUGCUUUUAUUUUAAA